rnacentral:lncRNA from 1 species
CUCACAAGUAAUGUUGGCUGUAAAUAUGAAAUUUCUUCCACACACCAAGAUUUUCAAGAAUGUCAUAUUC